GACUCAUGGAGACCACAAGCAAAUAAUUGAACACCUCCUGGCUGGUACCCUGCAAAUGAGAUCAUUGAUUCAUUUGUGUCACUGAAUGUACCUUUAUCAAUACUUGUCAUGUAACGAGCAUUGUGCUUGGAAUACAGGCAAAUGUUAUAUAAAGGGAUGAGGAGUAUUCAAAAAAUAGAAGAGGGAAUUCCCUGGUGGCUCAGUGGGUUAAGGAUCCAGCACUAUCCCUGCUGUGGCUCGGGUCACUGUUGUGGUGCAGUUUCAGUCCCUGGCCCAGGAACUUCAGCAUGCUGUGGCUGCGGCCACAAAGGGAAAUAAAGACAAAAGAUAGAGAUGGCAUGCCAGGGGUGGAGGUGGACAGGCGGAAUAAGGAGGUGUAAAUGGCACAGCCCAGGGAGAAACAGACACACAAACCCAAAUGACAGCUGUGGGGACCUGUGGGAGGCUGUGAUUUUACUGACUCAGGCAAGCUGGGAAAGCCUCUGAGAGGAGGGGAUAGAGGAGCUGGGGGCUGAAGCGUAAGUAUUUACUGGGUGAAUAAAGCCAGGAAGAGUAUUUUACACUGAGGAACAGCCUAUGCGAAGGCCCAGCUACAUCCAAGCACAGAGUGUUUGGAGAAGAGUUGGGUGCCUCUCCGGAGGAAAUAAAAUGAAAUCUUUUCUUUUCGCACAGGACCUGCCACAGAGUCAGCGCUCUGUAAAUGUUGGCCAUUAGCGUUGACACAUGGCCCCUGAACUUGAUCUGCAGAGGUUGGCUGAGACUCUAAGCGAGAGCCCAAUCGCCUUCCAGGAUGAAGGCCGGCUCGGGGUCAGAGCAGGGAGGGAAGUGAGCUUCGGAAGAGGGGCUGUGGUAUGAGACACUUCCUGCUUUAGGGGCCUGUGUCUGGCCUUCCCCGGGGCUGCAUCUUCUGUUCCCUUCCCCAAAGAGAAGCUCCGGACCCAGCCUGCUGACAGGCGCUCAGCUAACGGGAAGGUGGACCACACUGGGCCUCAGUCAUCGGCUGGUCUUGAUGAGCCAGGCCCUGGGGAUUCCUCGGGCCCCAGGGAGCAUUUAGAGAAGUACCCUGCGAGUCAUCUGCCCUGUGUGGUCACUGUCUGCCGGGGCUGCGCAGGGCAGGAAGGGAAAUGAGCGGAUUGCAGCACCGAGCGGUGGGAACCAGGCGCUGGCCGCCAAGCCGGCUCUGUUACCAGAACGCGGUGGUUAGGUAAUCCGUUCACGCAGGCCCUCAACAAGAGUUUCCCUUGUGGCUCAGCGGAAACGAAUCUGACUAGUAUCCAUGAGGAAGCAGGUUCGAUCCCCGGCCUCGCUCAGUGGGUUAAGGAUCCAGCGUUGCUGUGAGCUGUGUGUAGCUCACAAAUGCAGCUCGGAUCUGUCAUUGCUGUAGCUACAGCUCCGAUUCUACCCCUAGCCUGGGAACCUCCAUAUGCUGUGGGUGUGGCCCGCCAGCCGGAUCACAUUUGAUCUGCUUCAUUGCUUCAAGAGAUAAAUCUUGUUUCCUCCUUGUUAUCCCAUUUCACAGAUGAUAGCCUCCUGUUUUAAACACCCCCCCCGGGAGUUCCUUGGUGGCCUAGUGGUUAAGGAUAUGGCAUUGUCACUGCUGUGGCACAGGUUCGAUCCUUGGCCUGGGAACUGCUGCGUGGCCAAAAAGAAAAAAAGAAAAAGCCACCCCAGAUCUGCCCAUCAUUACCUCUCAAAAGGAGGUGAACCAAGGUGAGCUAAGCUCUUGUUCUGAGCUCACGAUGACCUACUGGGGCAGGAAUGAGGGGCCUGGCAUUUUCUGAUAACAGUCAGGCCCCGCCUGCCUAAACCACUCUCCUGAACUCUGAGAGCUUUCAAAUGCUUUGGAGACCUGUAAGAACGCCUUUUCCCAACAUUCCUUAAUCAUCAUUACUCUGGUCUCAGGCAUUUAGUUGCUCAUCUGUUUCUCAAUUCUUUCAUGAAUGGAGAACUUCUUUCAUGAUUGGAUCAGGGCUAGAGCAGCCUUGGACCAGAUGGUGCUUUAAGUAUGUCCCCCACCCCCAUCCCAUCCACUGUCACGGCCACUCUGCCUUUCAUUCUCUGGUUCCAGACCCACGUGUGAGCCCUGCUGUGUGCCAGGUGCUUGGAUCGGGAGGUGCUUGCAAAGGAUGAAGCUGGCCUCUGGGAGAGGGGUGACAGAUAGGGGCCAGAGAGAGGGUAGCCCAGGGGACUGUGGGCCCCCAGAGGUCAUGUGACCUGGGUGGGAGUGAGUACUUAAGCUGAGUCCAGAAGGUCCCUAGAAGUUAUCCAGGGUGGAGUUCCCAUUGUGACCCAGCAAAGAACAAAAAAAGCAGC
rnacentral:lncRNA from 1 species